rnacentral:piRNA from 1 species
UUCCAUGGUACCCUGGUCUGCAGAUGC